UACACUCCUGCGGGAGGCAGCAGUGGGGAAUAUUGGACAAUGGGGGCAACCCUGAUCCAGCCAUGCCGCGUGAGUGAUGAAGGCCCUAGGGUUGUAAAGCUCUUUUGUGCGGGAAGAUAAUGACGGUACCGCAAGAAUAAGCCCCGGCUAACUUCGUGCCAGCAGCCGCGGUAAUACGAAGGGGGCUAGCGUUGCUCGGAAUCACUGGGCGUAAAGGGUGCGUAGGCGGGUCUUUAAGUCAGGGGUGAAAUCCUGGAGCUCAACUCCAGAACUGCCUUUGAUACUGAGGAUCUUGAGUCCGGAAGAGGUGAGUGGAACUGCGAGUGUAGAGGUGAAAUUCGUAGAUAUUCGCAAGAACACCAGUGGCGAAGGCGGCUCACUGGUCCGGUACUGACGCUGAGGCACGAAAGCGUGGGGAGCAAACAGGAUUAGAAACCCCUGUAGUCCCAUG
rnacentral:rRNA from 1 species